GAUCAUUAGAGAAAAAAACCGUCUCGUGGAGAGCGUGCUGGGGGAGCCGUUGGGGGAGCACACGUACUGCGGGCCAGCCAGCGCUUAGUUGCGCGGCGCCUGUGGGUGCUUCGCCGGGAGCCCUCUGCUACAAGGCACUUCUUCAUGCAGAACACACACACAGUGGAGACACGUAUGCACGUUUUUCUGGGUGCAUUGGUGCUUUGGGCUGGCGACAGCCCAGAGUGCGGCACGCAAAACACAAACAAAAAUGCAGUUGCAACACGCAGUCAGAGACACACACGAGUUUGGGCAGUGCGCGAGCGCUGUGGCAGACGAGUGGAUAACAAAUCUUCAAAACUUUCAACAACGGAUCUCUUGGUUCUCGCAUCGAUGAAGAACGCAGCGAAAUGCGAUACGUAGUGUGAAUUGCAGAAUUCCGUGAAUCAUCGAAUCUUUGAACGCACAUUGCGCCCCUUGGUAUUCCAGGGGGCAUGCCUGUUUGAGCGUCAUUUCCUUCUCAAACAGCGAUGUUUGGUUGUGAGUGAUACUCGGACGAGUUAGCUUGAAAAUGCUGGCCGGUGGCUGCGGUGGCCGGGGCUUCUUAUCCUGCUGCGACAGGGAAGCUCUGCCGGACGUCUUCGUACUAGGUUCUGCCAAUUCGGGGACAACUGGCGGGGGUUUCUGUGGCGGGAGCUACGGGGGGCCCGUUGACGGCUGCGGACAGACAGCAGUGGCGAACAGUGUUCUUUUAAGUUUGACCUCAAAUCAGGU
rnacentral:misc_RNA from 1 species